UGAAUUACAGGCGUAUCUGCAUGGAGGACUUUUCCAGCUCCUCUGCUGGUUGUUCCACACAAGCCCAGCUCACAUGGUCCUCCAAGAGGCAAGAACCAACCUCCAGGUGAAAAGAAAUCCCAGGAGCCAUCUGAAGGCAUGAGAGAAAUACUAAAUGAACUGGGGAGAGGUCAGGAUGCAGCCGGUGCCACAACACGUGCUCCCAAGAUCCAGGAGAGC